GACGAACGCUGGCGGCGUGCUUAACACAUGCAAGUCGAACGGAAAGGCCCUGCUUUUGUGGGGUGCUCGAGUGGCGAACGGGUGAGUAACACGUGAGUAACCUGCCCUUGACUUUGGGAUAACUUCAGGAAACUGGGGCUAAUACCGGAUAGGAGCUCCUGCUGCAUGGUGGGGGUUGGAAAGUUUCGGCGGUUGGGGAUGGACUCGCGGCUUAUCAGCUUGUUGGUGGGGUAGUGGCUUACCAAGGCUUUGACGGGUAGCCGGCCUGAGAGGGUGACCGGCGACAUUGGGACUGAGAUACGGCGCAGACUCCUACGGUAGGCAGCAGUGGGGAAUAUGGCACAAUGGGCGGAAGCCUGAUGCAGCAACGCCGCGUGCGGGAUGACGGCCUUCGGGUUGUAAACCGCUUUCGCCUGUGACGAAGCGUGAGUGACGGUAAUGGGUAAAGAAGCACCGGCUAACUACGUG
rnacentral:rRNA from 1 species